CCGUGCCCCCCGUGCCAUCCCGCCCCGUUCCAAGGGCAGGGACACAUCCCGCGGGCCGGGCUGCUCCAGGUCACACCCGGCCCCAACGCGCCAAACGGCAAAUUGUCCCGAAAACGCUGUUCUGGGGUGUUCCGCUGUGCCAGGCGGCGACAAGGGACAGUUCAUCUAUUCAUCCAGGUUUGAACACUGAUGUCACCUCCAAUCCGUGAGAAAGGAGAUUUCAUCCAGAUCUGAACACUGAUGUCACCUCUAAUCAGGGAGAAAGGAGAUUUCAUCCAGAUCUGAACACUGAUGUCACCUCUAAUCAGUGAGAAAGGAGAUUUCAUCCCGAUUUGAACACUAAUGUCACCUCUAAUCAGUGAGAAAGGAGAUUUCAUCCAGAUCUGAACACUGAUGUCACCUCCAAUCCGUGAGAAAGGAGAUUUCAUCCUGAUUUGAACACUGAUGUCACCUCCAGUAUGUGAGAAAGGAGAUUUCAUCCCGAUUUGAACACUGAUGUCACCUCCAGUCAGUGAGAAAGGAGAUUUCAUCCUGAUUUGAAGACUGACGUGCCCUCCAAGUGAUGUCCAGCUGCUGGAAUGGCAGUGCUGGAAUUGCCUUGUUGACAUCUCCCAUCGAUCCCAUCUCCCACCUCUGGAGAAGAGGGGUUCCCGCUGAUAGAGGGCACCGGGAAUACAGAAUUUGCCAGCCCUGAGGACACUUGGCAGAGCUCCCAAGAUAAAGGAGAAACCAAUAAAAACAACUGGCCAGCUGUGCUGGGUCAGCUCCUGCUGGGAAAGAAGGGGAUUCCAGGAGGAGCGACCAGCAACCCGAGAAACCCCGAAAGCAGAGGAACGCCGGGAAUCCACGAGGAGCAAGGGAAUCAUGAGGGAGAAGAUAGAGCACUAAUUAAUAAGGGAACCAUGUGACCAGUGAGCGUUUGUGCCUUUGUUUGGUGAAAUGUAGAGACGGUGACAAGUUCUGGUAGCUGUGUGCUGGCUUGGGGGAUCAGCCCAGUGCCCUCGUUGUGCAGGGCUGGGAAUAAAUCCCAUAACUCUGUGGUGGGGACCAGGCUCUUCCACACCGGGAUAAAAAACCCAAACAUUUGGGAUGACACUGCCAGGGAUCCAGGGGCAGCCACAGCUGCUCUGGGAAUUCCAUCCCCACCCUCCCAGGGAACUAUUCCCUCCCAAUAUCCCAUCUGAAUCUCCUCUUUUCCAGUUUAGAGCUAUUCCCUGUGUCCUGUCCUGUUGGAGUCCAGGGCAUUCCUUUGGUUGCCCUGGAGGGUCAGGGACCUGGGCAGGGGGGUCUGGGACCCCAACCCAGGGCUCAGAGAGACACUGGCUUUGAUUUCAGUCCAUAGGAAAAACUUCCUGCACUGAGAGAAGGUUUACAUGCCACAAGAAUGUGAGAAAUAGUAGUUAGCUUAUCACAGAAUGAGAAAAUAAUAGUUUUAGGUUUCUAGCAUUGAAGUGAAUGGGGACAAGAUGGAGAAUCUGGGGCGUUGUCUCCUUCUCCUUCUCCUUCUUCUUCCCUCACUCCAUUGCUGCAUUGACGUGGCACAAAGUAGUUAGUGAGGAUUGGGUCAGAGUAAAGAUGACCUUUUUAGUAAUAGUGAUAGACAUUGGUAAGAAAUAGUAAAUAAGAAAUACGUAGUAAUUAGUAUAAAAGAUAAGGACAGCCCAGCUCGGGGGGAGACGUGAGGAAUCCAUGCAGCUGCGAACAUCUUGUCGGACUCAGAGAAAAUUGUAAGAUAAGAAACAAUAAACGAAGUAUGCAACCUUGAGAAAUCUAAACCUGAGAACUCCGUCUCUUCCUUCGGCUCGGCUCGGAGCUGUGCAGGGGAGCAAGGACCCUGAAACCACCUCAAUGUUGGGGAUAUUCAGCGGAGAAGAACCGGGGGCGUUGUCAAGGUGAAACGAGCUUCUCGCCGCUGGAGCUCGCUGCCCAUAAAUCUGGAACUGGGAUUACGCCAGCGAUGGGAAUUGCAGGGUGGAUGAGAACAGUGAAUAUUUAUUUUGGGCUGUCCGACAAUCCUCCUGAUGCAGAAAGAGACAAAAAUGAACCCAAAGCACUCUGAGCUCUGUGCUGUUAAAAAGAGAGAGCCGGGAAUUUCGCCGUUCGGAUAAAUCUCAUAUAAAAAUGUUGACACAUUUAAUCAACAGCGUUUUAUCUGAAUUCUCAACAAGCAAAUUAAUGCAAAAUAAACUAUUAAUAUCUCA